CACGAAGGUUGGCUAAUCCUGGUCGGACAUCAGGAGGUUAGUGCAAUGGCAUAAGCCAGCUUGACUGCGAGCGUGACGGCGCGAGCAGGUGCGAAAGCAGGUCAUAGUGAUCCGGUGGUUCUGAAUGGAAGGGCCAUCGCUCAACGGAUAAAAGGUACUCCGGGGAUAACAGGCUGAUACCGCCCAAGAGUUCAUAUCGACGGCGGUGUUUGGCACCUCGAUGUCGGCUCAUCACAUCCUGGGGCUGAAGUAGGUCCCAAGGGUAUGGCUGUUCGCCAUUUAAAGUGGUACGCGAGCUGGGUUUAGAACGUCGUGAGACAGUUCGGUCCCUAUCUGCCGUGGGCGCUGGAGAACUGAGGGGGGCUGCUCCUAGUACGAGAGGACCGGAGUGGACGCAUCACUGGUGUUCGGGUUGUCAUGCCAAUGGCACUGCCCGGUAGCUAAAUGCGGAAGAGAUAAGUGCUGAAAGCAUCUAAGCACGAAACUUGCCCCGAGAUGAGUUCUCCCUGAGACUUAAAGUCUCCUGAAGGAACGUUGAAGACGACGACGUUGAUAGGCCGGGUGUGUAAGCGCAGCGAUGCGUUGAGCUAACCGGUACUAAUGAACCGUGAGGCUUAACCUUACAACGCCGAAG
rnacentral:rRNA from 1 species